rnacentral:lncRNA from 1 species
UUGCUAAAGCAACGAUGGUACACAUUACAGUUGACACAAAACAACAAGACUGUCCUUAACAUAAGUACGUACUAAAUUACUAAUUCAAGAUAGAUAUAUAAUUUGAUUUGGAAGUGCAUGGAGAAAUGAAUCGUAGAGUAUUCAUGCACACGUACGUCUUCAAGGCAAUCCACCCCCAAGCCCACCGCCAGCACCAGCUCCUCCACCGAAACCUCCCCCAGCUCCUCCUCCAAGUCCUCCUCCACCACCACCACCGAAUCCUCCUCCGCCACCUCCUCCAGCUCCACCCCCAAGACCACCACCGGCUCCAAACCCACCACCGGCUCCCCCACCAAAACCUGAUCCACCACCUACUCCUCCACCGCCACCUCCGCCUAAUCCUCCACCGCCACCGCCACCAAGUCCACCACCUCCGCCAAGUCCGCCACCAGCUCCAGCUCCAGCACCACCACCGAAUCCAGCACCAGCACCAGCACCGCCUCCUAAACCUCCUCCACCUCCAAGACCACCACC